UGCGUAGGCGGAUAUAUCAGUCAGUGGUGAAAUCUUGCGGCUUAACCGUAAAAUUGCCAUUGAUACUGUAUAUCUUGAGUAUGGUCGAGGUGGUUGGAAUGCGUAGUGUAGCGGUGAAAUGCAUAGAGAUUACGCAGAACGCCAAUUGCGAAGGCAGAUCACUAGCCCAUAACUGACGCUGAUGCACGAAAGCGUGGGGAGCGAACAGGAUUAGAUACCCUGGUAGUCC
rnacentral:rRNA from 1 species